rnacentral:rRNA from 1 species
CCUACGGGUGGCAGCAGUAGGGAAUAUUGCUCAAUGGGGGAAACCCUGAAGCAGCAACGCCGCGUGGAGGAUGAAGGUUUUCGAAUUGUAAACUCCUUUUGUUAGAGAAGAUAAUGACGGUAUCUAACGAAUAAGCACCGGCUAACUCCGUGCCAGCAGCCGCGGUAAUACGGAGGGUGCAAGCGUUACUCGGAAGCACUGGGCGUAAAGGGCGCGUAGGCGGGAUUGCAAGUCAGAUGUGAAAUCCUAUGGCUUAACCAUAGAACUGCAUUUGAAACUGUUAUUCUAGAGUAUGGGAGAGGUAGGUGGAAUUCUUGGUGUAGAGGUAAAAUCCGUAGAGAUCAAGAGGAAUACUCAUUGCGAAGGCGACCUGCUAGAACAUAACUGACGCUGAUGCGCGAAAGCGUGGGGAGCAAACAGGAUUAGAUACCCCAGUAGUC